UAGAAAAUGUAGCCCAUUUCUCUCCAUCCCAUGGGCUACACCUUGACCUAACGUUUUUAUGUUGGAUAUUUGUGCUUACUUCGGUGCCUUGUUUAGGGUUUGCUGAAGAUGGUGGUAUAUAGGCUGAAUUAGCAAGGGAUGGUAGGGUUUAUCGGGGUUUAUCGAUUAUGGAACAGGCUCCUCUAGAGGGAUGUAAAGCACCGCCAAGUCCUUUGAGUUUUAGGCUGUUGCUAGUAGUACUCUGGCGAAUAGCUUUGUUGUGGUGAGCUAUUUUAGUUUAGGGCUAAGCAUAGUGGGGUAUCUAAUCCCAGUUUGGGUCUUAGCUAUCGUGUAGUCAGAGGUAUUAAAGUCACUUUCGUAGUCUAUUUUACUUUGGUUGUAGCUUUUUACGGCUUAACUGGGUUUUAACUUUAUUUUGGUAUUAGUCUUUGACACGCUUUACGCCGGAGGGUUUAUUAAUUUGGGUUAAUCGUAUGACCGCGUCGAACUUUCGUUCAUAGCUUAAUUUUUAUCACUGCUGUGUCCCGUGGGGGUGUGGCUGAGCAAGGUGUUAUGAGCUACUUUCUAGUGUGCUUGAUACCUGCUCCUUUUAAUCGCAGAGACGCUUAGAGACUUCUUAGAAUGGGAAGUUCUUCCUGCGAUGUGACUUGGGUAGUAUGAUGGUUAAUUUUAUGUGUCAGCUUGACUGGGCUAAGGGAUGCCCAGAUAGCUGAUGAAACGUUAUCUCUAGGUAUGUCUGUGAGGGUGUCUCCUGAAGAGAUUAGCAUUUGAAUUGGUUGACUGAAUAAAGGAGAGGACUCUGAUCAACACAGGUGGGCAUCAUCCAAUCUGUUGAAGGCCCGAAUAGAACAAAAAGGUGGAGGAAGGAGGAAUGUGUUCUCUCUGCUUAUGCUGAGACACUCAUCUUCUCCUGCCCUUGGACAUCAGAGCCCCUGGUUCUCAGGUCUUCAGACUUGGCCUGGAAAUACACCACCAGCUUUCCUGAGCCUCCAGCUUGCAGGUGGCAGAUUGUGGGACUUUUUGACCUCCAUAUUCAUGAGAACCAAUCUCUCAUAAUAAAUCUCUUUCUAUUGUUAACAAAUCAUUAAAGAAGGCAAUUUAGGUGAUACAAACAAACUAACACUUCAUGAAGUGGACAGUCUUUAUUUGGAGAAUUGCAAAAUGGGGCAGAAGGCAGGAAGCUUUUAUAGGAUAAAGAGUGAAGAACAAAGAAUAGAAAAAUAGAAAAUAUCUGAUUGUCUGAGGCCAUACAGUCAACCUAGUUUGGAGUGAAAAGGCCCAGAGCUGGGUUGGUGUUUGGGGAUCGGCUGACA
rnacentral:lncRNA from 1 species